CUCUCAUCACUCUACCAUCUCAGUCAAUUAGAAACUGGACAGCACACAGCAUGGAGCUCUCUUCUCUGGGCCUGCUGCUCGUGCUGAUCUUGUGUUCCUACUCUGGACAUGCUGCAGAUCCUACAGUAACUGUGUAUCCCUAUCCUCCUCUCUAUCCUGGAGAGAGGGUCACUCUAAGGUGUGAUAUUUCAGGGUACACAGACUGGGUUCAGUACGUCUGGUACAAAGACAAUAAUCAGUUUAAUCACAA